rnacentral:rRNA from 1 species
AACGAACGCUGGCGGCAUGCCUAACACAUGCAAGUCGAACGAGACCUUCGGGUCUAGUGGCGCACGGGUGCGUAACGCGUGGGAACCUGCCCUUAGGUUCGGCAUAACUCCCCGAAAGGGGUGCUAAUACCGGAUAAUGUCUUCGGCCCAAAGAUUUAUCGCCUUUGGAUGGGCCCGCGUUGGAUUAGCUAGUUGGUAGGGUAAAAGCCUACCCAGGCGACGAUCCAUAGCUGGUCUGAGAGGAUGAUCAGCCACACUGGGACUGAGACACGGCCCAGACUCCUACGGGAGGCAGCAGUGGGGAAUAUUGGACAAUGGGCGAAAGCCUGAUCCAGCAAUGCCGCGUGAGUGAUGAAGGCCUUAGGGUUGUAAAGCUCUUUUACCCGGGAUGAUAAUGACAGUACCGGGAGAAUAAGCUCCGGCUAACUCCGUG